rnacentral:rRNA from 1 species
UACGUAGGGUGCGAGCGUUGCCCGGAUUUAUUGGGCGUAAAGGGCGCGUAGGCGGCCACGCACGUCCGUUGUGAAAUCGCCCGGCUCAACUGGGCGGGGUCAGUGGAUACUGCCGGGCUAGAGUCCGGAAGAGGCGAGUGGAACUCCUGGUGUAGCGGUGGAAUGCGCAGAUAUCAGGAAGAACACCAACGGCGAAGGCAGCUCGCUGGGACGGUACUGACGCUGAGACGCGAAAGCGUGGGGAGCGAACAGG